CCGCAGUGCUCCGAGCCCCCAGCGAGGCCGCGGGGCGCGCCCCGGUGCCUGGUCGGCCCUGGCACCCUGCGCUGCCCGGGGCGCUGAGGGAGGCUUACGAAGAGCUGAACGCAGGCUCGGCGAGCUAGUUUUAGGGCUUCUCUUCAGCCUGAGCUGGGGAAAGGAGAGAGGGGCGUUAGGAAGCACAGCAGAAAAAAUAAAUUAGAUUCUGCCUGCUAAGAAACAUUUCAGCAAUGUGAGUGGAACAGCAACUUAGUGCUUACGUAAGAUGAGAAGAAGUGGAGGACCAAGACUACUUAGGGACCUGUUUAUGACAUACCGAACUUUUCAUCAUUUAAAAUUUGUCAGUGACAAAACUGGUUGCAACAUAACAGCUGCUGGCAGCUUCUAUGGAAUUAAUUGAACCUACAUUUCCUACUCAAGAAAAAUAUUCCUGGUGAAAAUUCCAGAAGAUAGUUUGAAGAAUUAAAUCUCAAGCAAUGAAAGUCUAGAACUUUGUGUCUUC